GCGUAAUCUCCAAUCUGCAUUCUGAUAUUCUUUGUUCGCUGUUACUUCACAAAAAUGUUGUAGCAGAUGCUCCAGACUGUUUCUUUCCAAUUUCAAAAUUCUCGAUGCCUGGCCAGUAUCGAACAUAUUGCAUACAUAUAUGCCAAAGUCACGUUGAAGCCACACAAUAUCGCGAUCAGCACCAUGCAUCACCUUUUUCUUCUUGUGAUCCUUAAAAACAUCUCUCAGAUAAGGGCCAAUGUGUACACGGAGCUUCAGAGUGUCAACAACAAAAUCUUCAGUUCUAGUUGAUAUCUGCAUCAAGCAUGUCAAUCCUUGAAAAGAUCUAUAUUGGUUAUGCUCCAAAUCAACUGCAAACUCAUCCACAGAACGCAACUUGUUUGCUAACAGCUUCAGAUCUUUAACCUCUUCCACAAGCUUGAAUGGAGUAUCCUCUAACGGAGGAGGUUUAACAGGCUCAAUAAUGCCAGCAGUCUCAACAAAGUCUGACGGAGUGAACUUCUCCAGAGGAUGCACAAACCUAGAACCAUCCUCACUUCUCUGUAACCAAACAUGCUCAAAUGGCUGAUUUGUAUUGUUAACAAUGAUUUUAUACGCAUCCUGUGGCUUAGGGAUGGUGGGUAUAUGAAAUGGAAUCUUAGGCUUCCCUUUGACAGCCACUUUCACCUUCUCUUCACUCUUCUUCUUCUUCCUACCAACCAAUUGAAACCCACUUUCAGAAUCAUCCUCCAUCUUCAUUCCAGUCUCCUCUUCUUUCUUUCUCAACAGCUUAAACUCAUCUAACGACGAAGCGAGUUUCUCCAAAACAUCGUCAUUUAUGUUCACAAGCCAUUCUUCGCUCUCCUCAUCAUCUGGAUCCUCCGGACACGAAAUGGGUUUUCCCCAUAGCUCUGAUAAUUGCCCAACUUUGUCCAAGAUUUCCUUAGAUUUCUUAUCGAUUUGUGAAAUAGGAGUCCUGAAUUCGCUGAAAUUGUUGUAGAAAUGAAAGUCUCUAUCGGUAGGGAUUCCUCUUGAAGAACCAGAGAGCUUUGUAACCGCAGAUGGUAAUGGGCCACUUGUGACUUUGCUUAACGUAUCCUCGCCGUUACCUUCAGGUGAAUCGAUCUCCAUUGAUGAGAUUCAGAAAAACAAUGGAACCCUUUUCGGUUAUAGGAUUCACCCGUUGAUGAGGAAGAGGGGUUUUUGGCUUUAGGGUUAGGGUUUUACUGUACGUAUCAAAUUUG
rnacentral:misc_RNA from 1 species